CGCGGUAAUUCCAGCUCCAAUAGCGUAUACUAAAGUGUUGCAGUUAAAAAGCUCGUAGUUGGAUUUCUGGCGGGGACGGCUGGUCGGUCUCGAAAGGGGCUGUACUGUUGUUGGUUCCCGUCAUCCUUGGGGAGAGCGGCUCUUACAUUAAGUUGUCGGCGUCGGGAUCCCUAUCUUUUGCUGUGAAAAAAUUAGAGUGUUCAAAGCAGGCUUAGGCCCUGAAUACAUUAGCAUGGAAUAAUAAGAUACGACCUUGGUGGUCUAUUUUGUUGGUUUGCACGCCAAGGUAAUGAUUAAUAGGGAUAGUUGGGGGUAUUCGUAUUCAAUUGUCAGAGGUGAAAUUCUUGGAUUUAUGGAAGACGAACUACUGCGAAAGCAUUUACCAAGGAUGUUUUCAUUAAUCAAGAACGAAAGUUAGGGGAUCGAAGAUGAUUAGAUACCAUCGUAGUCUUAACCAUAAACUAUGCCGACUAGGGAUCGGUGGGUGCAUUUUUAGGCCUCAUCGGCACCUUAUGAGAAAUCAAAGUCUUUGGGUUCCGGGGGGAGUAUGGUCGCAAGGCUGAAACUUAAAGAAAUUGACGG
rnacentral:rRNA from 1 species